UCGCGAUUUCCAGUGGAGAGAAAGGCAGAGAGCUGUCAGUAACUUUCUCUGCCUGCGCUUAAUGCUGAUUGGGCGUUGCGGUUGUGAAGGGCGGCGCUUGCUGUGGGAGAGCGGCGGGCGGCUGGUUUCCUUCCUUCCCGCCUGUCUGGCUUCAGCUGUUUUUCCUGUUGGUGCGCGUUCCCCCUCCCCGCUUUGUUUUGAAGAGGGGGGGGGGAGCGAUCGAAGGGGAGGGAUUGACGCCCAUGUUAUUCCCUCUGCAUGGUACAUCUAUCAUCUAUCAUCGUUGUCCCUGUAUAAAGUCAAAAGGAGCGCAAAAUUAUGGGAAUCCUUGGCUCUCCACCUCCGGUAACUUCUGAUAGCUGGAGUUUUAUUUAUUUUUCCAGCAGCUGUUUGGGGUACCAUGCUUGAAAUGGGAAAAAAGGGUGAUCAUCAUUUUAAAAUAAAUGAAUGUAUAGCAAAAAAAAGAAACACGGAGAGCCCGUUUGGUUUAGUGGUGAAGACAGCAAGAGACCAUGAGUUCAAGUCCUGCCUUAGCCAUUAAAAACCAACCAGUCACUCUUUCUCUCAGCCCAACCCACCUCACAAGGCUGCUGUUGUGGAGAAAAUAGAAGGAAGGUGUGUUGGAUAUGCUCACCUCAUUGAGUUAUUUGUAAAAAUAAUAAAGGUGUGGUACAAAUAAAUAUAAAAUAAAAAUAAAUUAGCUGCACUGGAGAGAACCUUAAACCUUUAACUCCUAUAAUUAAGAUUAAAGUGUUUCUUUAUGGCUUUUUGUAUAUUUCUCCUCAGAGAAAGAUCUAUAUAUAGAUUCUUCCCUAACCCUAUGACAUAGCUCUAUCUGUAAAAUUCAAACAACAUAUAUACACCAAAGCACAUAUAUUUUUAUGAAAUGCCUCUUGGGGAGAGUUAAAAGUGGAGAAACAACAUGGUAUAUUUAUUUUUUUCCCACAGCUGCCUUUUUCACUAGAAUUCUCUGCCCACCACAACUGCUUACCUUUCCUUCCUACAUGUCAUUAAUCUUGCAAAGAGGCAUUUAACCCUUCCUGGGACUCCAGGGUAUGGGUGUGGGAAACAACUAGGGAGUGUAAAUUUGAGAACAAAAACAUCAGAGGAAGAGUUAAGCUUACACACACAUAUGCAUGCUGUUUUUCUGCUGGAAAUCUAAAGCUACCGCAUGUGGGCUGCGAUAAUCUGGACAGCAAGAAGAUAAUUUUCUGAAUGUUUUCACUAUUACCUAAAGGUUUUUGCAAACCAGGUUUGUCCAUACUGAUUCCCCUUAGAAUGCACAGCUUUACACUUUUUUAGAUGUAUUUUUAAUGUACGGUGUGCAGGGUGGCAUACAGAGUGUUGACAACGUAUGGUAACGUCAAGAUGGUGGCUACCAUAGCACAAUCAAAGCUCCACCUAAAUAGUCACCAUCAGCUCUUUUGACCAUGCCCUGCAAAUACCCCUGGUUUCCCAAGUGUCAAGAAAGAAGCCAUGUAUUGUAGCUUUGCAAAACAGAAUCCAUGGAAUGGCGUUUACUUCCGAUAAGCACUGAAACAUUUCUCUGGAGUUUGCAGCUGGCAGAAACCAAGGGAGCAAACCAAGCUGGUUUGCCAAGCUGUUUGGGAAAGUUGUUUGCUUCCAGUAGGCAGGAAAUGAUCAAACUGCUAUUUAAAAUGCUAAUUACAGGUUGCACCUAAAACAAAAUAUGCCCUGAUAACAAUUCCCAUACCAUUGGAAGAUUUCUGUUCUUUCUAACUCAGAGGGGGGAAAAAUGAAAGCCUCAACAGUUUCUUAAGUUAUAUCAAAUGCAGAGCCAUCCUUAAAUAAUUUUAAACUCUUGAGUGCAGACAAUUCAAAUGGUGCAUUGAGGAGAAGGGAACACAUUUCUUCACAAAAGAAAUUGUUGCCAUUUAUUCUAUUAUAUUUACAGUCAAGAGCUUUCAGGGAACCUGCUUGCUGGCUAGGCAGUUCCUAAGUUUCUUUUAUGCAAGGGCCAGAAGUUGUAACUCAGUUGGUUUAAAUGCAUUUAAAAGCAUUGGAGAAAAUGCGGGCAAACUUGUUUGGAUUUUAAUGCGCUGAAAAAAAGUGCCCCUCAUUGUAAUUGCUUGGGGCUGGAGGAGGGGGAGAAUUCUUUAUAGAUUGAGAGAGAGGGAAAAAAGCAAAUUGCUUUCAGUUUCCACAGUGGCCUAGGUUAGUUCUAAUUUCACAUUUGCUCUUAGUUCUCUGAGGCCUUUGGAGAAUAAAAGCUUCGUGGCAGGGACUAAAAACACCAUACUGCAAGAAGCACAUUCAAAACUGAUAUCGCAAACUUUGACGUGGGUGCUUCCAAACAAGAUUUGUGCCGUGAUCAAUACCGUAAUACACAAACAAGCAGAACUUGCAAGCACCUUAUCCAGAAGAACAAGAAAUGACACGGACAAAACAGAACUUGGCAUAACUUUGGUGCUCUCAUGGAUGCUACCGCUUGUUGCCCUUGAGAGAUUUCCUUGGACUGCGUCACUGGGACAAAAACACCCUGGAUCUGGGCUCUUUGCAUAAGGACACGUUGACUGGACUCCCCAUCAUACAGGUAGAGUUUGAGAAUGCUGCUUCAUUGAUCUGGAAUCAAGGGCAGAUGUUGCCCACUCUUUCUCCUAAGAUACAAGGCGUUUUCCUCUUCUUGACAUCACCUGAUUAUGGGCAUCAGGCAAAGACAAUCCAGCUUGGUCUAAAGAUCUGCCCAAACAAGGAAAAGGAAAAAGCACUAUCAAGGUUUAAAUCGGGCUGAAGGUGAGAGAGGGUUGGUGUGAUUGGGGAAACACUGGAGUUCCCAGCCUAUGCAGGUAACUCAAUAAAUCUCUUCUGAGCAAAGGUGACAGUGUGUGUAACACUGAAGGGAGUUUGUCAUUGCCCAGGCUGUGCAAGCCACACAACAGAAACGAAAGGAAACGCCUGGGAAUUACACAGCGUAAGUAAAGUUCUGGCAGAACUUUAGAAGGCUAUAGAAGUGAUGCUUGUUCAGCAAACCCCUUUACUCCUUUUCCCAUCCUCACCUUGUCUAAAUCGGGGGCUCCCAAACUUGGCAACUGUGAGACGUGGGGGACUUCAACUCCACUUAACAUGGCUGGCAGGGGAAUUCUGGGAGUUGAAGUCCACACGUCUUAAAGUUGCCAAGUUUGGGAAACCCUGGUCUAAACAACCCUAGCUUUGCACCAUUUCCUGAAAUGAGUCUGUGGAGCUUCAGACAGUGUGAGACUUUGCAGAGAACUGCUUGUUUACUAGAGAAAAGAAGAAAGAUCUGUAGGGAUCUCAUGCUGCUCUCAAACCACAUAUUGUCUGCUUGGGGUCAGAAAGCUUUGAGAUCAGUCGCUCGAUACAGCUUUAGUGAGAUGCUUCAAAGGAAUAUUUGUAUGCUUGGCGAGGCACAAGAUGCCAAGAGUUUUGCUGCCAGCCGUUAAGAGGUUGAUAUAAUUGGCAUCCUGAGUCACACACAAUAAGAAGCCAGAUCUAGGCACCCUGAGGCUCCCCCUGGUGUUUUGGAUACCAGCUCCAACAGCUUAAGCCACUGUAGCCAAUCGUGGAGACUGGUAGGAGUUUUAACUCCAAAGUUUAUGCAGGGACAAGGUUCUUUAUUCCCCCAUUAAGCCUGGAUGUGGUUUGUUUGUUUCUAAUGAUUUGUGGGUAUGGGUGUGUGAAUCAAGGCACAGCAGCUCAUUGAAGAAAACAUAGUUUUAGCAUUAUGUUUGGACAUGUGAAAGCAGCCAAAGUGUAAAGUUAAAAAUCAGGAGGAGAAAUAAGCGUAUUCAGACAGCGAAGCUCCCAGAUGAGAGAAUCCUGUCCAUUGUCUGAGGACUCUCAAGCCAGCUCACUUCAGAUGAGCCAUACUUUGGCUCAUACCUGUAGAGGGCCAUACCUUGGACUCUUCAUCUGGACCUGUCCAUUCAAAGUCCAGCUCUGAAUGAUUCCAAAUGUUUUUAUCUGCUAAAGUGCAAACAGUAUUUCUCACAGUAGCUAGUCCUUUGAAUGAUCUCUCCCCAGCAGGGAUUGAGUCACCUUGAACAGGGCUGCCAGGCAGUUAUCAGGAGAUGCAAUAAGGACAGAGGAUUAUGUGCCCUUAUCACUAUGAUGUAAGCCCAAAUAUGGGUUCUUACCUAUGCUAAGAUUCACUCUCAUCUUCCUCCAAUGGUGCUUUAGGUGUCUUUCAUGCACUUUAUUUUGCAGGGCUGUUCAGUAGACCAAGGUGCAACGUGGAGACUACCAGGACCUUCAGAUCUAACAAGCCCUCUCUCCUCAUGAGGUGAGAUGACAUCAGUGAGCUAAAAAGUGAUCUGUCCACAACAACAGACUAAUGACAAUGCCUUCCAAAGCAGCAUCAUGUGGCAACUGCUCCAUGCUGAAGACAGUCUAAUAUCCGGCACGUAGCGUGUGCUGGGUACAUAAUGACCUAGAACAUAUCCAUAAUUGUCAUGGAUGUCACAAAUCCCUGAGGUAAGCCAUACUCAAUGUCACCAGGCAGCAAAUAAUCCCUUGUGGGUUGGUUCAGGGAUUUGUGGGCACCAUGACAAUUAUGGACAUGUUCUAGGUCAUUAUGGGCCCAGCAUGUGCAGAGCACCACCAGUCUUGGCGUCUCUGUUGCCAGCCCAGCAAUGGAAUCCAGUAAGACAGGGAUGAUACUGGGUAGCAGGAGGCCAGUUCAUCAGCAACAAUCCUGUUUCCUAGAGGCCCACUUCGACCAAAGACCUCACAUCUGGUUAUCUGUGGAGCAGAGCCUCUGAAAUCCUACAACUCAAUGGAUAACUACUAUGACCACACCUCUCCUCCCUUGGCGAGAGCUGAUGCCAAACCCCAAACCCAGAUGGCCACUUUUGCAAGAGGAGAACAUCCCCUCUAGGUAGGGCCACUAAAGCCCAGUUGGCUACCUCAUCCUCAGCCCAAUUGUGGAUGAAGGAAGAUUGAUUACAGACUGACCUGCCAUUAAACACCAUCAGGUGGAGUCCACCACCAAGGAUCCAAUAUCCUGGUUUUGAGUGAAGAACCUGGGGCUGGUCGUCAAGAAUGCUGUCAGCAAGGGAGCCCAAUGUUCCCAAGUGCAGCCCACCCCAGGAUCCUAUCAUAUCUCUGCCCAUCAUGGUUCCUAUGUUCCUACCAUCUCCUCUCCACCUUCUCAUUUCCCUCCCACUCCUUGCAUCUUUCUUCUUCUAGGCAAAGGUAUCCAUGCACCCCCAUGCACCACCCAGACCACCAAACAACCACUCAUCUAACCAUCCUCAACACUUCCAGUUAUCACAGUAAGCCUCCCCCCCCCCCUUUCCUCUUUGGUCAUAUGUUGUGUGGCACACAUUAAUGUAUGGGGCAUUAUGACAGCCUCUCCAACACAGCACCAAACCAAAAUCUCCCUCCCCCCCUCCAAACACAAACAUACCAAUAAACAAUGGGGGAGGCAGCAAAGAGAAAGUUUCUCUAUCUCUUUGGUUGCCAUCUAGCUAUCAUCCAAACAUUUGCAGCUCAGAUAUGGCAACUCUGAUUUCAUGCAACUUUCCACACAUUAUCAGACUGGCAAGAAAGCUCUUGCAACCUGCUGGCUUUCUGUAGAUGAUUUUUGUGGGGAAGAAAGUUUGCUCUCCUAAAUUAAAAAAAAAUGGCCAUUAAAUAAACAAACUAACAAA